GAGACUUUAGAAGUAUUCCCUCCUCUUCAGUUUCUUGGGGAAAGUUUACAAAGGAUCUAGAUUAGCACUUCUUUAAAUAUUUGUUAGAAUUCGGCCGUGAAAUAAUCAGUUCUCCGGCUUUGUUCUGUCUUUCAGGUAGGAGACUUUUAGUCACUAGCUCGAUUUCCUUACCUGCUACUGAUCUGGUUUCUAGCUCUUCUCAGCUCAAUCUUCUUGGGCAGUCUGUGUCUAGCAUGUGUCCGUGUCUUACAGGUAUCUCAUUUGUUGGUGUUUGAUUGUUCACAAUAGUCUGUUAGGGUCCUUUGUAUGUCUACAGUGGCUGUAAUAUGUCUUUUUUUUCAUUUCUAAUGUCAUUUAAUUGAGUCUCUUCCCUUUUGUUUCUUAGUUUAGCCUAAGGUUGAUUGGUUUUAUCUUUUCAAAGAAUCGACUCUUGCUGGGCAGGAUCAGCAAGGGGAUCACAAGUUUAAGACAAGUCCGAAUAACUUAGCCAGACCCUGUCUCAAAAUAAAAAAUGAAAAGGGGCUGGGCAUCGCUAGCAGAAUGUCUCCGGGUUCAAUCUUCCCUACCUGAAAAGGAAGAGGAAGAAGGAAGAGGAGAAAGAAGAGGAAGAGGAAAAGGAAGACUAACUCUUAAUUUUGUUGAUAUUUUGUGUUACCUUUCUAGUGUGGCUUUUAAGGCAGGGUCUGGCUGUGUCGCUCAGGCUGACCAUGAGCUUGAAUCAUCCUGCCUCAGCCUCCAGAAUUCUGGGAUUAUAGGCCUGUGCUGCUACAUCCCCCUCUAGUCUCUAUUUCAUUUAUUCCUGCUCUGGUGUUUAGUAUUUUUUCUUCUGCUAAUAUUGGGCUUGGUUUUCGCUUCUUUUUCUGUUUCCUUGAGGUGUGAUGUUUAUUCGAGAUCUUUGCUGUACCUGGAAAACGCAGAUUUAAACCCAGGUUGACAUGACCAGUCGUAACUGACAUUUUGCAAAGGAAAUAAAGCAGCUUGACCCAAACCACGUGGAAAAGCCAGGUGCAAGGAAAAGAAGCCAGACUAGACCAGUCUCAGGCCUUGGGAAGCGACUUCUGCUGAUCUAGAAAGUUUGGAUUUUUCUAUUCUGCCCGGAUGCCUGUCCUCCCUCUCUGUUCCUGAGCCCAUCAACAAAAGGCCUUUCAUCACUCAGCUCAGAGGUGCUCACUCCUGGGGUCCACUCUGUGCCUGACACCCCCAGCUCCUCAGGGCUCUGCAGAGUGACGUCUGGGGGCUCGGGGCACACUUACCUCCCUCUGCUCUGCUCCUACCCCACCAUCCAGCCCACGGUCCUGCCUCGCCCUGCAGAUGUCCCACCUCCUGCCUGUGUCGCCACACCAGGACCUCAGCAGUGGACAGCCUGUCUGCCUGUCCCCUGGGCUGUCCCAGCCACACCCAAGGGUCGGCACAGAGGAGGAACAGACCUUUGCCAUUCUCGGGGCCUGGGAAUUACACAAGUGCUGCCUUCUUACUCAACUUAAACACACGGAGGGUGUUUAUCCAGGAUGUGUGGAUGAUUUUUGUUUCUUGGUGGUUUUGAGGGGAAGGGUGGAUAUUUUCUUUGUUCUUAAGUAUGCAAAAAUUAUUUCUCCAUCCCUGGUAUUUCAGUUGGAAAAUACAUUUGAAAGGAAUGACUUGUGGGCUCGGGGUGCAGGUCAUGGGCAAAGCUGUGGGUUCCAUCCCAGUGUUGAAACAAGAAGGAAGAGAGGGAGGGAGGGAGGGAGGGAAGGAGGGAAAGAUUUAAUAUGUGUAGUCAUAGUUACGUAGAUAUAAAAAUCACGCCUUAUCCAUAAACAGCAUGCCAUUUUGAGUUGAAUUCACACUUAAAAUACAGACUUUUCUUUUUUCAAAUCAGGAAAGGUCCAGGUGUGUGGAGUAGCAUAGUCUCAUUUCCGAGCUCCCAGAACCCAGUUUUAUGACUUGGGUUGACUUAAUGCAAUAAAACAAAAUUAAGCACUGCUUGAUUGCUGUUUUUGUCCCAGUGCUGGGGAUGGAACCCAGGGGAUCACACGCACUAGGCAAGGGUCCCCCACCGAGCUACACCCCGGCCUACAAUUCCCUUAAACUGUUGGAGGUUUUUUUGAUUUUUUAAAUGGCAAUUAACAAAUGACAAAUGACAAUAGGCUGCUACAAAUAUGACUUUAUACUGAAAACAUUGUUUCUAAGAAUCGUGUAAAUAUUUUUUCAAAUUAAAACAAACUAGAGGGGUUUAUGUGCAAGUCAUUCAGUGGAAAACCUCUCAGAUGUGUGCUUUGACAUUUGUCGCUGAGGGGAAGCCUGGGUUUUCUUAGUUUUCUAAGAGAAAACUAGCUUUCUCCUCGUGUUGUCCACUUCCUGCAGGCUGAGGACAUGACUGUGUGGCAUGAAUCCUAGGGUUUGUCCAAAGGCCCCUCCCGUACUCUGAGUGGACGACAGGGAACUGGAAGCUCCAUUCUCCCACGCAGGAGAUUCAAUUUCUGUUAUAGAUUCCACUAGAAAAAUAACAACCAGCAUAUUCAUUAAGCUCUUCUUUGCUUCCUUAACUGUAUUUUCAUAUUUUUAUCCAACGUCUACCAGCGAUCUAGGCGUCUCGGUCAUCACCGAUUUCACGUCAUCCAUAUGACAUUCUACUUUUGUCCCCUGGCCAGGAUGAGACACACAGGACAUGUCCACAGACAGAUGCGCUCCUCACAGGCCCUGCUGUGACUUCUGAGCAGUUAUUUCCUAAUUCAAAGUGUGUUUUAUAGGUGGCCAAGUGUUACGACAUAGCACAGCGCCUGUGUGGAGUGCAGAAUAGCAUGCAUUGCUUGGGCAUAGUUCUUGCCUGAGCUGCUGUUUCUGGGAAUGCUUUACCUAUUUUGAGACUCGUACUUUCCCGGGCGCUUUUUGCUGUACAUGGAGAACACAUCCCCACAGAGGAGCCAAGCCAGCCAAGAGCCACUCCAUGUGGAACCUGGAAACGAACCCUGAAGCUACCCACCCUGGGCAGCUUGUCAACCCGUUUUCCUGACGUCAGUGUGGACAUCCUCUUGAAAAAGAUUUCUACUUAGAAUUAACUUAAAAGCGAGGCUCAUUUGCUUGAGUUUUACGUGACAAAAAUAACUUGUCAGUAUAUGUGUAUAUGAGUAAGAAUGAUUAUAGUUUGUAUUGGCAAUUGACGUACUGUACCAAUCAAUCCUCUUGCAUUAUCUCAAUUAAUCUUGGCAACUAUUGCACCUAUUUUAAAAUGACAAAUCAGGUGCCCUGUAACCUUCCUUGACUUAAGUUACCCAGCUGUCCGAUAGUGGAGCUGCCGUUUAAACCCAGGCAGCCUGAUUUUAGAACCUACCCCAUUCUGUCUUUUGCUAUGUAUUUGUGCAUGUGUGUGGAUAUAUACAUACACAUGCAUAUAUACACAUACACAUAAAUACACACGUGUCAUAUAAGCAUGCAUAUACUUAUUAAUAAAUGUGUAAAUGCUCAGAAAAAUCUUCUGGAAAGAUUUAAUUCUCCUCAACCGUGCGCUCUUGGGAGAGGCAUUUGAAAUUAGGAUCAAUGCUUACAUUAAUUCCACACAUUUCUCUAAUCAUUUUAAUCCCCAAAACAAACAUGCAUUAUUCUUGUAUUUUAAAAAGUAAGUUAUUGAUUUUGCUGUCUGUGUCCCCCUGGAAAUGCUUGCUGAAUAAUUGAAGAGCAAGUCAUAAAAUCUGGUAGAGACAAAACAGUUCACAGAGCCAGGGAUGUAGCUCAGUUGUUUUGCCGCCUGCUGCGCAAGCGCAAAGAUCCGAGUUUGAUCCCCGGUACCA
ensembl:lncRNA